rnacentral:rRNA from 1 species
AUACGUAGGGGGCGAGCGUUGUCCGGAAUGAUUGGGCGUAAAGGGCGCGUAGGCGGCCCGGUAAGUCUGGAGUGAAAGUCCUGCUUUUAAGGUGGGAAUUGCUUUGGAUACUGUCGGGCUUGAGUGCAGGAGAGGUAAGUGGAAUUCCCAGUGUAGCGGUGAAAUGCGUAGAGAUUGGGAGGAACACCAGUGGCGAAGGCGACUUACUGGACUGUAACUGACGCUGAGGCGCGAAAGUGUGGGGAGCAAACAGGAUUAGAUACCCUGGUAGUCCACACUGUAAACGAUGAAUGCUAGGUGUAGGGGGUAUCGACCCCUUCUGUGCCGCAGUUAACACAAUAAGUCAUCCACCUGGGGAGUACGACCGCAAGGUUGAAACUCAAAGGAAUUGGCGGGG